GAAAUGCGAUAAGUAAUGUGAAUUGCAGAAUUCAGUGAAUCAUCGAAUCUUUGAACGCACCUUGCGCUCCUUGGUAUUCCUUGGAGCAUGCCUUUUUGAGUAUCAUGAAAUCUUCAAAGUAAAUCUUUUGUUAACUCAAUUGGUUUCUACUUUGGUAUUGGAGGUCUUUGCUGCUUCACACCUGCUCCUCUUUGUUCAUUAGCUGGAUCUCAGUGUUAUGCUUGGUUCCACUCGGCGUGAUAAGUUAUCUAUCGCUGAGGACACUGUAAAAGGUGGCCAAGGUAAAUGCAGAUGAACCGCUUCUAAUAGUCCAUUGACUUGGACAAUACUUUUAUGAUCUGAUCUCAAAUCAGGUAGGACUACCCGCUGAACUUAAGC
rnacentral:misc_RNA from 1 species